rnacentral:rRNA from 1 species
GUCUUUUUGAGUUAAUUUUAAAGUCUGACCUGCCCACUGAGAUUUUUUAAAUGGCCGCAGUAUUUUAACUGUGCAAAGGUAGCAUAAUCAUUAGUCUUUUAAUUGAAGGCUGGUAUGAACGGUUGGACGAAGUAUAAGCUGUUUCAUAUAAAUUUAUAAUAGAAUUUUAUAUUUUAGUCAAAAAGCUAAAAUAUUAUUAAAAGACGAGAAGACCCUAUAAAUCUUUAUAUUUUAUUUUAUUUAAGUUUUUUAGAUUAUUUUUAUUUUUAUAAAAUAAAAUAUUUUGUUGGGGUGAUAUUAAAAUUUAAUGAACUUUUAAUUAUUUUUAGUCAUUAAUUUAUGAAUUGUUGAUCCAUUAUUAGUGAUUAUAAGAUUAAGUUACUUUAGGGAUAACAGCGUAAUUUUUUUGGAGAGUUCAUAUCGAUAAAAAAGUUUGCGACCUCGAUGUUGGAUUAAGAUAUAAUUUUAGGUGUAGUCGCUUAAAUGUUAAGUCUGUUCGACUUUUAAAUUCUU